GGCGAUUCUCAGGUGACACACCCCUGAAUCGGGCUCCCUCCUCUCUGGUUCUGGUGUGUCACCUGAGAACCGCA
rfam:Myotis davidii contig45631, whole genome shotgun sequence.